rnacentral:rRNA from 1 species
AGGAUGAACGCUAGCGACAGGCCUAACACAUGCAAGUCGAGGGGCAGCGCGGGAGAAGCUUGCUUUCCUGGCGGCGACCGGCGCACGGGUGCGUAACAGGUGUGCAAUCUGUCCAUAGUCGGGGGAUAGCCCAGCGAAAGCUGAAUUAAUACUCCAUGUGAAUCGAAGCCGCAUGACUUUGAUUUGAAACGCAAGGACUAUGGGUGAGCACGCUUCUGAUUAGGUAGUUGGUGGGGUAACGGCCCACCAAGCCGACGAUCAGUAGGGGUUCUGAGAGGAAGGUCCCCCACAUUGGAACUGAGACACGGUCCAAACUCCUACGGGAGGCAGCAGUGAGGAAUAUUGGUCAAUGGGCGAGAGCCUGAACCAGCCAAGUCGCGUGAAAAGGAUGAAGGUUCUAUGGAUUGUAAACUUCUUUUGUCCGAGGGUAAAAAAGGUCACGUGUGACUUCUUGCAAGUAUCGGACGAAUAAGCAUCGGCUAACUCCGUGCCAGCAGCUGC